UACGGAGGGUGCGAGCGUUGUCCGGAAUCACUGGGCGUAAAGGGCGCGUAGGUGGCCCGUUAAGUGGCUGGUGAAAUCCCGGGGCUCAACUCCGGGGCUGCCGGUCAGACUGGCGAGCUAGAGCACGGUAGGGGCGAGAUCGGAAUUCCCGGUGUAGCGGUGGAAUGCGUAGAUAUCUGGAGGAACACCGGUGGCGAAGGCGGCAUCCUGGACCAACACUGACGCUGAGGAGCGAAAGCCAGGGGAGCAAACGGG
rnacentral:rRNA from 1 species